rnacentral:rRNA from 1 species
AACGAACGCUGGCGGCAUGCCUAACACAUGCAAGUCGAACGAGACCUUCGGGUCUAGUGACGCACGGGUGCGUAACGCGUGGGAACCUGCCCUUAGGUUCGGAAUAACUCCCCGAAAGGGGUGCUAAUACCGGAUAAUGUCUUCGGACCAAAGACUUAUCGCCUUUGGAUGGGCCCGCGUUGGAUUAGCUAGUUGGUAGGGUAAAAGCCUACCAAGGCGACGAUCCAUAGCUGGUCUGAGAGGAUGAUCAGCCACACUGGGACUGAGACACGGCCCAGACUCCUACGGGAGGCAGCAGUGGGGAAUAUUGGACAAUGGGCGAAAGCCUGAUCCAGCAAUGCCGCGUGAGUGAUGAAGGCCUUAGGGUUGUAAAGCUCUUUUACCCGGGAUGAUAAUGACAGUACCGGGAGAAUAAGCUCCGGCUAACUCCGUG